AACCACAUCACAUUGAAACAAUGGUUUCUAUAUGAACACUGAAGUUAAGCAACGUUGAGCCUGGUCAGUAUCUAGAUGGGUGACCGUUUGGGAAAACUAAAUGCU